UUCCCAGACUCCUACGGGAGGCAGCAGUGAGGAAUAUUGGUCAAUGGGCUUACGCCUGAACCAGCCAAGUCGCGUGAGGGAAGACUGCCCUAUGGGUUGUAAACCUCUUUUGUCAGGGAGCAAUUGGCGCUACGUGUAGCGUUAUCGAGAGUACCUGAAGAAAAAGCAUCGGCUAACUCCGUGCCAGCAGCCGCGGUAAUACGGAGGAUGCGAGCGUUAUCCGGAUUUAUUGGGUUUAAAGGGUGCGUAGGCGGGAUGCCAAGUCAGCGGUAAAAAUGCGGUGCUCAACGCCGUCGAGCCGUUGAAACUGGCGUUCUUGAGUGGGCGAGAAGUAUGCGGAAUGCGUGGUGUAGCGGUGAAAUGCAUAGAUAUCACGCAGAACUCCGAUUGCGAAGGCAGCAUACCGGCGCCCUACUGACGCUGAGGCACGAAAGCGUGGGGAUCGAACAGGAUUAGAUACCCCUGUAAGA
rnacentral:rRNA from 1 species